CUCUUACUCUUAACCCAAUCCUAUCCCUUCUUGUGAAUGAUCUCUCCCUUGACUCUAUCUUUCCUACACCAACUCCUUUCAUCCAGCCUACCGUUCCAUAUGAUAAUACGCCUUCAUUCCUUAACCAUGAGUCUUCCACUACGACAUCUAUAUCCCUAUCUAUAUUCUCGUCAACCUUAGACCCAUCACCCUCUCCUAGUCACUUUCCUCCAUCACCUCAUGAUGUUAAACCAGUUCAAUCCCCCUAUACUAAGCAACCUAUCUACCUCAAGGAUUACUUUUGCUCUAUUGUCACUGCCUCC
rnacentral:lncRNA from 1 species